CUAGUACGGUUGCAUACAAAAUCUAGUUGGCUUUUAAAAUAUUCAAAUUGAGGUAAAAACACAACAAAAAAAAUAAACACACAAGAGGCUAGAGGUCGUGUCCAUAUAAUAAAAGAAAAAAUGAAAGUAAAAAUAAAUACUACAAGUUCUACUUUCAACCUCCAAAUAUAAAUACUUUGGGGCAUAUCCUGGAUAAAAUAUAUACAAAUCCUUCGGGACAUUCCUCGGAUAAAUUUAACUGAAUGAACGAUCUCUCACCUCAAAACUAACAAAAAUUCUAAGGCUUGCCUACCCAAACGUGAUCCGCCUAAACACGCUCCUAAUGAUCAAAUAGAAACAAUAAAAUAAUAAAAUAUCACAUUAAUAUCAAUUCUCUUUUCUAUGUUCAGUAGCAGACCUCCAACGAUACAGUUCUAGCAUCAAGAUGUUAUCCCUUUUAACUUCUUUCAUUUUUGCUAAGAAUCUUGGUAUACAAAUGUUCACGUGCUAUUUUGGCCAUUUCAAACAAACUUUUGCAUCCAAAUUUCUCCAACAAAACAAAAAUCUCGACAAUAAAAGAAAUUACAGAAUUAGAAAAGUAAUUAAGGAACUGUGAAUCCAAGCAUAAUAUUGGCCCGUGAACAAACUAAAAUAAUCUAUAUUCCUAAUACCAUAGGGAAAUCUCAUAAAAUUCAAGCCUAAUUACGAGAAAUUAAAUUCUAUGCUACUGGACCCAUUCAUUUAAAAACACAACUCAAAUCCACUUUGUUGCUUAAAUAAAAUAAGUCCAAAUCUUACUCCCAAUUUUAAGAUUUAUAAUCAUCAAAUGUAAAACUAGAUCAAACAAACUAAAAUCUCAUUCUACUUUGUUAUCAAAUAUCACUGUCAACAACGAACACCAAGCACAAAAGGAACAAGAAUCGGACAACAAAUUAAGUUCGAAAUUGUUUUUGACAUAGACUAACACAGAGGAAUAUGAAUCACAUAACCGAUCAAACUUUAAUCCAUUUGACAUGGAGAAUAAGACAGAAGAAAUGAAGCUGCUAAACUAAAAUUCUUCUAAUUGACAAUGAAGAAAUCAGCAAAUGUACACUUCUUCGAUCCCAAAAAUUCACUGAGAUACAAUGACAAAAAAUCUAACGGCGGAACCAGAACUCGAAAUUUCACCUCAAUUUCACAAAACCUUCGAAUUCCUUUUUUUCGAUUUCUGCCUUCUCUAGUUUUUUUUAAUUUCUCUCUGAUUGUUCAAAGGAAAUAGGGAAAGGAAAAUGAAAGAGGUGUGUGUGGUCGUCAGUUCUGCUGCUGGCGGCAUCGCCACUCGUCGGCGACAAAUUCCGAUAGGUAGGAAAAGGGGUGCUAGUGUACUACUUUUUAGGGUGUGAUUGAUAGUGGAGGAAGAAAGGAAGGAGAUGAGGCAGUGUAGCUCGCUGGAGAUGGUAGCGGCGGCGAAUGAGGAGAAGAACGGGUGAGGGUGUGCUGAAGGGUUUCUUCGAGAUAAGGUCCCCGCUAAUUUUGUCCUCU
rnacentral:lncRNA from 1 species